CUUGAACAUUCCCCUAUGGAAACUAUUCGUGUGAUUCAGAAGGCUUUCAGGAAUGAUACAAUGAGUGCCGCUCAAAUAAAAGUGUGGCACAAACACUUCAAAGAUGGUUGAGAAUCUCUUAAGUCAUCCAUGUUCUAAAAAGCCUGCAACAAGCAGAACACCUGAGAAUGUUCAACAAAGUCGCAGAAAAAUCAAGACCAUGUUAACUGUGUUUUUUUGAUUGGGAAGGUUAUCAAUCCCGAGUACGCUCCUUCAGGCCAAACAAUUAAUGAGUACUACUUCAAUGUUCUUCGUCAGUUGACAGAUGUCAUAAGACGAAAACGGCUGCAGCUAUGGGCAACUGGUGAUUGGCAGCUUCAUCACAACAAUGCUCCCAACUAUG